AGUGAACGCUGGCGGUAGGCCUAACACAUGCAAGUCGAACGGCAGCACAGUAAGAGCUUGCUCUUACGGGUGGCGAGUGGCGGACGGGUGAGGAAUACAUCGGAAUCUACUUUUUCGUGGGGGAUAACGUAGGGAAACUUACGCUAAUACCGCAUACGACCUACGGGUGAAAGCAGGGGAUCUUCGGACCUUGCGCGAUUGAAUGAGCCGAUGUCGGAUUAGCUAGUUGGCGGGGUAAAGGCCCACCAAGGCGACGAUCCGUAGCUGGUCUGAGAGGAUGAUCAGCCACACUGGAACUGAGACACGGUCCAGACUCCUACGGGAGGCAGCAGUGGGGAAUAUUGGACAAUGGGCGCAAGCCUGAUCCAGCCAUACCGCGUGGGUGAAGAAGGCCUUCGGGUUGUAAAGCCCUUUUGUUGGGAAAGAAAAGCAGCAGGUUAAUACCCCGCUGUUCUACGGUACCCAAAGAAUAAGCACCGGCUAACUUCGUG
rnacentral:rRNA from 1 species